GAGAACGUGGCUCAGUUGGUAGAGCAACGGACUUUUAAUCCGUAGGUCGUGGGUCCGAGUCCCACCGUUCUCA
rnacentral:tRNA from 1 species